GCACUGCUGAUAAGAUCCAAAUAGGUCGAAACAGCUGUCCAGUGC
rfam:Echinostoma caproni strain Egypt genome assembly, scaffold: ECPE_scaffold0003074